AUAUUGAACUCGAGUUGGAAGAGGCGAGUCCGGUCUCAAA
rnacentral:miRNA from 1 species